rnacentral:rRNA from 1 species
CCUACGGGAGGCAGCAGUGGGGAAUAUUGCACAAUGGGCGCAAGCCUGAUGCAGCGACGCCGCGUGGGGGAUGACGGCCUUCGGGUUGUAAACCCCUUUCACCAUCGACGAAGCCUUUGGGUGACGGUAGGUGGAGAAGAAGCACCGGCCAACUACGUGCCAGCAGCCGCGGUAAUACGUAGGGUGCGAGCGUUGUCCGGAAUUACUGGGCGUAAAGAGCUCGUAGGUGGUUUGUCGCGUUGUUCGUGAAAACUCACAGCUUAACUGUGGGCGUGCGGGCGAUACGGGCAGACUGGAGUACUGCAGGGGAGACUGGAAUUCCUGGUGUAGCGGUGGAAUGCGCAGAUAUCAGGAGGAACACCGGUGGCGAAGGCGGGUCUCUGGGCAGUAACUGACGCUGAGGAGCGAAAGCGUGGGGAGCGAACAGGAUUAGAUACCCU